UACGUAGGUGGCAAGCGUUGUCCGGAUUUACUGGGCGUAAAGAGCGCGCAGGCGGUCGUUCAAGUCGCGUGUGAAAGCCCCCGGCUCAACUGGGGAGGGUCACGCGAUACUGAUCGACUCGAAGGCAGGAGAGGGUAGUGGAAUUCCCGGUGUAGUGGUGAAAUGCGUAGAGAUGUGGAGGAACACCAGUGGCGAAGGCGGCUUUCUGGUCUGUAACUGACGCUGAGGCGCGAAAGCGUGGGGAGCAAACAGG
rnacentral:rRNA from 1 species